CUACGGGGGGCAGCAGUAAGGAAUAUUGCUCAAUGGAGGCAACUCUGACGCAGCCAUGCCGCGUGCAGGAAGAAGGCCUUAUGGGUCGUAAACUGCUUUUAUUUAGGAAUAAACCCCCGAACGUGUUCGGGGCUGAAGGUACAAAACGAAUAAGCACCGGCUAACUCCGUGCCAGCAGCCGCGGUAAUACGGAGGGUGCAAGCGUUAUCCGGAUUUAUUGGGUUUAAAGGGUGCGCAGGCGGGCUAUUAAGUCAGUGGUGAAAUCCCGGGGCUCAACUCCGGAACUGCCAUUGAUACUGAUAGUCUUGAGUUUGGUUGAAGUGGGCGGAAUGUAGCAUGUAGCGGUGAAAUGCAUAGAUAUGCUACAGAACACCAAUCGCGAAGGCAGCUCACUAAGCCAAAACUGACGCUCAUGCACGAAAGCGUGGGGAUCAAACAGGAUUAGAUACCCCCGUAGUC
rnacentral:rRNA from 1 species